GAUGAACGCUGGCGGCGUGCCUAAUACAUGCAAGUCGAGCGAACAGACGAGGAGCUUGCUCCUCUGACGUUAGCGGCGGACGGGUGAGUAACACGUGGAUAACCUACCUAUAAGACUGGGAUAACUUCGGGAAACCGGAGCUAAUACCGGAUAAUAUAUUGAACCGCAUGGUUCAAUAGUGAAAGACGGUGUUGCUGUCACUUAUAGAUGGAUCCGCGCCGCAUUAGGUAGUUGGUAAGGUAACGGCUUACCAAGGCAAAGAUGCGUAGCCGACCUGAGCGGGGGAUCGGCCACACUGGAACUGAGACACGGUCCAGACUCCUACGGGAGGAAGCAGUAGGGAAUCUUCCGCAAUGGGCGAAAGCCUGACGGAGCAACGCCGCGUGAGUGAUGAAGGUCUUCGGAUCGUAAAACUCUGUUAUUAGGGAAGAACAAAUGUGUAAGUAACUAUGCACGUCUUGACGGUACCUAAUCAGAAAGCCACGGCUAACUACGUG
rnacentral:rRNA from 1 species